AUUGAACGCUGGCGGCAGGCCUAACACAUGCAAGUCGAACGGUAACAGGAAGCAGCUUGCUGCUUUGCUGACGAGUGGCGGACGGGUGAGUAAUGUCUGGGAAACUGCCUGAUGGAGGGGGAUAACUACUGGAAACGGUAGCUAAUACCGCAUAACGUCGCAAGACCAAAGAGGGGGACCUUCGGGCCUCUUGCCAUCAGAUGUGCCCAGAUGGGAUUAGCUUGUUGGUGGGGUGACGGCUCACCAAGGCGACGAUCCCUAGCUGGUCUGAGAGGAUGACCAGCCACACUGGAACUGAGACACGGUCCAGACUCCUACGGGAGGCAGCAGUGGGGAAUAUUGCACAAUGGGCGCAAGCCUGAUGCAGCCAUGCCGCGUGUAUGAAGAAGGCCUUCGGGUUGUAAAGUACUUUCAGCGGGGAGGAAGGUGCUGUGGUUAAUAACCGCAGCAAUUGACGUUACCCGCAGAAGAAGCACCGGCUAACUCCGUGCCAGCAGCCGCGGUAAUACGGAGGGUGCAAGCGUUAAUCGGAAUUACUGGGCGUAAAGCGCACGCAGGCGGUCUGUUAAGUCAGAUGUGAAAUCCCCGGGCUCAACCUGGGAACUGCAUCUGAUACUGGCAGGCUUGAGUCUCGUAGGGGGGGGUAGAAUUCCAGGUGUAGCGGUGAAAUGCGUAGAGAUCUGGAGGAAUACCGGUGGCGAAGGCGGCCCCCUGGACGAAGACUGACGCUCAGGUGCGAAAGCGUGGGGGAGCAAACAGGAUUAGAUACCCUGGUAGUCCACGCCGUAAACGAUGUCGACUUGGAGGUUGUGCCCUUGAGGCGUGGCUUCCGGAGCUAACGCGUUAAGUCGACCGCCUGGGGAGUACGGCCGCAAGGUUAAAACUCAAAUGAAUUGACGGGGGCCCGCACAAGCGGUGGAGCAUGUGGUUUAAUUCGAUGCAACGCGAAGAACCUUACCUGGUCUUGACAUCCACGGAAGUUUUCAGAGAUGAGAAUGUGCCUUCGGGAACCGUGAGACAGGUGCUGCAUGGCUGUCGUCAGCUCGUGUUGUGAAAUGUUGGGUUAAGUCCCGCAACGAGCGCAACCCUUAUCCUUUGUUGCCAGCGGUUAGGCCGGGAACUCAAAGGAGACUGCCAGUGAUAAACUGGAGGAAGGUGGGGAUGACGUCAAGUCAUCAUGGCCCUUACGACCAGGGCUACACACGUGCUACAAUGGCAUAUACAAAGAGAAGCGACCUCGCGAGAGCAAGCGGACCUCAUAAAGUAUGUCGUAGUCCGGAUUGGAGUCUGCAACUCGACUCCAUGAAGUCGGAAUCGCUAGUAAUCGUGGAUCAGAAUGCCACGGUGAAUACGUUCCCGGGCCU
rnacentral:rRNA from 1 species